rnacentral:rRNA from 1 species
AACGAACGCUGGCGGCGUGCCUAACACAUGCAAGUCGAACGAGAAAGGGGCUUCGGCUCCGAGUAAAGUGGCGCACGGGUGAGUAACACGUGGGUAACCUGCCUCUAAGAUUGGGAUAACUCGUCGAAAGAUGAGCUAAUACCGAAUAAGACCACAGUUCCCGCGGGAACAGGGGUCAAAGGUAGCCUCUGCUUGCAAGCUAUCACUUAGAGAUGGGCCUGCGCACCAUUAGCUAGUUGGUAGGGUAACGGCCUACCAAGGCAAAGAUGGUUAGCUGGUCUGAGAGGAUGAUCAGCCACACUGGAACUGAGACACGGUCCAGACUCCUACGGGAGGCAGCAGUGGGGAAUAUUGCGCAAUGGGCGAAAGCUUGACGCAGCAACGCCGCGGGAGUGAUGAAGGCCUUCGGGUCGUAAAGCUCUGUCGGGAGGAACGAAUGCUCCUGAGGUUAACAGCCUCGGGAGGUGACGGUACCUUCAAAGGAAGCACCGGCUAACUCUGUG